rnacentral:rRNA from 1 species
CCCCCCCCCCACCCCCGCCGCUGGGAAGUAAAAAGUCGUAACAAGGUCUCCGUUGGUGAACCAGCGGAGGGAUCAUUACAGAGUUUACAACUCCCAAACCCUUAUGUGAACAUACCAAUCGUUGCUUCGGCGAACCGCCCCGGCGUCCGGUCAGCCUCGUGCUGGCCGCGGCCCGGACCCAGGUGGCCGCCGGAGACCCCCAAACUCUUUUGUAUUUACAGUAUCUUCUGAAUCCGCCGCAAGGCAAAACAAAUGAAUCAAAACUUUCAACAACGGAUCUCUUGGUUCUGGCAUCGAUGAAGAACGCAGCGAAAUGCGAUAAGUAAUGUGAAUUGCAGAAUUCAGUGAAUCAUCGAAUCUUUGAACGCACAUUGCGCCCGCCAGCAUUCUGGCGGGCAUGCCUGUUCGAGCGUCAUUUCAACCCUCGACUUCCCCUUGGGGAAAUCGGCUGUUGGAGACGGCGAGGCCUGGCCUCGCCCCUCCCAAAUCCAGUGGCGGCCCGUCCGCGGCGACCUCUGCGUAGUACUUACACCUCGCACCGGAACCCCGACGCGGCCACGCCGUAAAACAACCCACUUCUGAACGUUGACCUCGGAUCAGGUAGGAAUACCCGCUGAACUUAA